rnacentral:rRNA from 1 species
AUUAAGCGGGGUAAAAGCCCGUUCUUCGGAAAACCAAGGGUUCCUGUCCAACGUUAAUCGGGGCAGGGUGAGUUGGCUCCUAAGGCGAGGCCGAAAGGCGUAGUCGAUGGGAAACAGGUUAAUAUUCCUGUACUUGGUGUUACUGCGAAGGGGGGACGGAGAAGGCUAUGUUUGCCGGGCGACGGUUGUCCCGGUUUAAGCGUGUAGGCUGGUUUUCCAGGCCAAUCCGGAAACCCAAGGCUGAGGCUUGUUGCACAGGCACUCCGGUGCUGAAGUGACAAAUGCCCUGCUUCCAGGAAAAUCCUCUAAGAUGCGGGUAACAUCAAAUCUUACCCCCACCCCAAACCUGUGGUGAGGACAAGAAUACCCA